GGGACGAGGCGGCGGCUAUGGCGGACGAGCGGGCGGUGUGAGGGCUCGGCCGCCAUUUUGUGUGUGUGGGGGCUCGCGCCAGGCCUCGCUGCCGCCGCCGCGAGGCUGAGUGCACGCCACAGCUGAACGUCUAAUGAUAGUCAAACCUGCGUGCCCUGCACCUAUCUGGUUGCAGCAGCGUUUUCAGGGAGCCGGACUGCUGCUGCAGCGCUUCCUGCCUGAAGAGCGGCUGGAAGCGGAGUCGGGUAUCGCAGUCCCCCGCUGGGGACGGGGUGCUUCGGCAGGCGCUGGAAGUCUGCGCUGCUGCUAAGUGUGCCGAGGGCUGCGUGCUGCCCGGCUCACCGCGCUGCCCCGGGGUCACUGCUGCCGGAGUGGGACACGCAGCUGUCCGGGAGGAGCCGAGUCCGCCCCGUGCAGCGCUGCGGGGCUCCAGGUGGAGCAGGAGGCCUCAGCGGGCUGCUGCUUCUCUCCCCGAGCAAUGACUCCUAACGAAGAACUUUUUAAGCCCCGCUUAUGGCACUGAGAGCAUUUCUGGGGAGCUCUGCUGCGACCUCACCCCCAGGAGGAGGAGACAGGAAAAUGAACCGAGCCUUUAGCAGCCACGGAGCCUCAGUGCGUGCGGAGCAGUGCUGAGCUCCAUAGGAGCCCCAUUUCUCCGCACCCCGCGGUGGAGCGGCCGAAACGCACCGAAAACGAUCGGAACUGCAUUCUCUCGUGGGAGAACGCUUCCAACGCUCCCCAGAAACCACACCGAAGCUGUUACAGUUACAAGUAAUUAAAUUUAUUAGACCUC
rnacentral:lncRNA from 7 species